rnacentral:rRNA from 1 species
AUUGAACGCUGGCGGCAUGCUUUACACAUGCAAGUCGAACGGAAGCGCGGGCUUCGGCCUGGCCGCGUGUGGCCGACGGGUGAGUAAUUCAUCCGAAGAUAACCUGCCUUUGGGGCUAGGCCGGCUUCGGCAGGAUUGAUAUCACACACGACGUGAUUUUGAACGCGGGGGAUCGAAAGUCCACGCGCUUUUUGCUGGCACGAUGUCGGAUUAGCUAGUUGGUGGGGUAACGGCUUACCAAGGCGACGAUCCGUAGCUGGUCUGAGAGGACGACCAGCCACACUGGGACUGAGACACGGCCCAGACUCCUACGGGAGGCAGCAGUGGGGAAUUUUGGACAAUGGGCGCAACCCUGAUCCAGCCAUGCCGCGUGCGGGAAGAAGGCCUUCGGGUUGUAAACCGCUUUUGUUCGGGAAGAAAUCCUCUGGGCUAAUACCCCGGGGGGAUGACGGUACCGGAAGAAUAAGCACCGGCUAACUACGUG